AGUGAACGCUGGCGGUAGGCCUAACACAUGCAAGUCGAACGGCAGCACAGUAAGAGCUUGCUCUUACGGGUGGCGGGUGGCGGACGGGUGAGGAAUACAUCGGAAUCUACUUUUUCGUGGGGGAUAACGUAGGGAAACUUCCGCUAAUACCGCAUACGACCUACGGGUGAAAGCAGGGGAUCUUCGGACCUUUCGCGAUUGAUUGAGCCGAUGUCGGAUUAGCUAGUUGGCGGGGUAAAGGCACACCAAGGCGACGAUCCGUAGCUGGUCUGAGAGGAUGAUCAGCCACACUGGAACUGAGACACGGUCCAGACUCCUACGGGAGGCAGCAGUGGGGAAUAUUGGACAAUGGGCGCAAGCCUGAUCCAGCCAUACCGCGUGGGUGAAGAAGGCCUUCGGGUUGUAAAGCCCUUUUGUUGGGAAAGAAAAGCAGUAGGUUAAUACCCCGCUGUUCUGACGGUACCCAAAGAAUAAGCACCGGCUAACUUCGUG
rnacentral:rRNA from 1 species